UGGGCAUCAAUGAUGAGUUAUUCCUUUUUGUUAUCCUUGCACUUUGAUUGCCAGUGAAGAAACUUAUGGGGACAAUUGACUCUGAGAUGCUU